CGUAUAUUAACGUUGUUGCAGUUAAAAAGCUCGUAGUUGGAUUUGUGGUUUGUUGCGCGGUCCCAAUGUUAUGUUGGGUGCUGUUGCGAGGAGCCAUCCUUGGGUGGAAUCUGUGUGGCAUUAGGUUGUCGCGCAGGGGAUGCCCAUCGUUUACUGUGAAAAAAUUAGAGUGUUCAAAGCAGGCUUAUGCCGUUGAAUAUAUUAGCAUGGAAUAAUGAGAUAGGACCUUGGUACUAUUUUGUUGGUUUGCGCACCGAGGUAAUGAUUAAUAGGGACAGUUGGGGG
rnacentral:rRNA from 1 species